rnacentral:rRNA from 1 species
GAUGAACGCUGGCGGCGUGCCUAAUACAUGCAAGUCGAGCGAACAGACGAGGAGCUUGCUCCUCUGACGUUAGCGGCGGACGGGUGAGUAACACGUGGAUAACCUACCUAUAAGACUGGGAUAACUUCGGGAAACCGGAGCUAAUACCGGAUAAUAUAUUGAACCGCAUGGUUCAAUAGUGAAAGACGGUUUUGCUGUCACUUAUAGAUGGAUCCGCGCCGCAUUAGCUAGUUGGUAAGGUAACGGCUUACCAAGGCAACGAUGCGUAGCCGACCUGAGAGGGUGAUCGGCCACACUGGAACUGAGACACGGUCCAGACUCCUACGGGAGGCAGCAGUAGGGAAUCUUCCGCAAUGGGCGAAAGCUUGACGGAGCAACGCCGCGUGAGUGAUGAAGGUCUUCGGAUCGUAAAACUCUGUUAUUAGGGAAGAACAUAUGUGUAAGUAACUGUGCACGUCUUGACGGUACCUAAUCAGAAAGCCACGGCUAACUACGUG